UACAUCAUUUAUUUUUCAACACGAAUUUUCCAUAAAUAUAUAUCAAUACUCGUCAUACAUAGUUUUUGCUUGCGUAUAAUAAUAUUUUCUUACAGCACAUACAUAUUUUCUCUUUUAAUAUAGUUCUUUGUACCGAUCUGAGUUGCGCUCCCGAACUCACAGCACACGUUUCUCCCACCAUUCCCCUAAGAAUGAAAUAUAUUUUUGCAGAUUGCUAUCGAAUCACCGAUUAAGUAAUACUUCCAGGUCCUCCCUAACAGGGGUAUCGUUUCGUAUCGAUUUUCCCAAGUCUUUUUUCCACGAUAUGCCCGGAUAUGUCUCGUAGAAUUCGUUCAUUUUAUUGCCAUCUACCGUACCCAUUUUUGUAUUCAAUUAUUAGUUGAUUUUUGUCUAGCAAUCGACCCGCAAAAAUAUAUUCUUUUUUUUUUUUAAAGCAAAGUACAAUGUUCCUUAAAUUCUAUCAGAGUAUGGCGUAGAGACAGUAUAUUCAUACUUAACUAGACAGAACGGACAUACUUUCGGGAACGUACAAAUAUUUAAAAUUGCAGUGAAAUGUAUGAGUUCACAGCACAACGAGGAGUCAAACUAAUCAGCCUGAAACCAUCGCGCAAAUCGCACCUAUUGCGUAGCAAAUUAUUCCAGAAAUUACCGUCUUAAGAAUAUAUAGGUAUGCGCGAUGAAAUUCAAAUUCCAUUUUUUUUUUUCCAUUUACACGUAAUACUGAGUGGGACAAUUCACCAUCUUUAUUUCGUCGUGACUUCCUCAAUUUUAAACAGAUUAAAAUCGAGUAUGUUUAAGCGGAGGCUUUCCAUGAAAAAAAUUGAAUCGCUUUAACGUCUCUUCAGAAACAUCCCAUGCGCAAACAAUUAAUAACAAUUAACAUUCAACAUUCUUAUAGUCUAGCGAAGUUAAAGCUGAAGAAGUUAUGGCGAAGACAAGGGUAGGGAAAGAAAAACAGCCGCAGCCUGUAUUUCUCGACGUUGAAAUGUUUUGGAAGAUAGAAUGUUACAAAGCGUGAAUGUAUUCGUUCAUAUUAUAAAUUCUGUUGCGCAACACACGCUGCAAAGUCUCAACCCCCAUAACUUCUUCUUCAUUCUUUGUUUUUGUACGCGAAACCACGCGGAUAGAUAUACUUUUAUAUAUUUAGAUAUACUACUAAUCGACAUGCUACAACUCUCGGCCAGCAAGAGCAAGUUCAUUUUACUUAAUUUCCUCUUCGUAAUUUGCUACCAUACAUAUACAUAUUUGUUGUUGUUAAUUAUCAACGGAUAUUUAACAGCGAUAUAUGCGUAUAUAUGCAACAACAUCGUUUGUUAUCUUUGUCUUCUUUGUAGCAUCCGCGCCAGAGCCCUGUGAUAGUUACUUUUAAUAUUACAACAACGAAUGGGAAAGGCAGUGCAAGCGUCGAAUCUACCGAGUUGUUUUGAGGUCGAUUUUCGUAAAAAGUUUCAUCGCUGGUAUUCUAGAAGUUCGAAAGAAAUCUUUGGAAUACUUGAGAAAUACAUACAGCAAUCGUCACGAGGAAACAAACGAUUAAAAUUACUAAAUCGUCUUCUAAUUAGUAGAAUCAAUGAUUUUAUCUUUUAAUAAAUUGACUUCAAAACAACGCUCACUAUCCCUUACAGUACACACUUUAGCUAUGGAUAUUGCUCGCGUAGAAAAAUCAGUAGUGAAACAUAAUCCCUCUAAGCUCCUUGAGCACUAAAGUGGUGUCACCUUAAUUGACCGUGAGUUCAAUUCGAUUACCAACUAAUUACAAAACCUCGCCAGUAUCUCGAGCAACGACCGAUCCUUCGAUUCUUCCGUCUACGCGGAACUCCUUCUACCUCUAUCUCCAGUGAAAAAAGUUGUGUUCCAGAAAUCAAUAAGUGGGUCUAGUGCUCCAAGUAGAUCUAUCAUUCCUCUAACACCGCUCGCAUCGAGUUCAGAAACGAAAUUAGAACGCUAAACAGUUCGGAUUCCCUUCAUCCCUUAAGUGAACACAACACUCAUUUUGAAACCAGUUACAGUGUCGUUCGUGUCCUCUUGAAAAUUCAACGCAAAUUAGAAGAUCACGAACGCGGUCACCUCUACUCUCUGAAAAACUCCUCGACUAUUUUCAAAAGCAAACUUCUGAUUAACUUGUACGCUUGACUAUGCGUUUGGAAAAUGAUGAAACGUGUUCAGGCUAUCGGCACGUCUGUUCCUGUCUCUUUCUUCAACGUUAAUUACAAUUCUAAGGUACAACGCUAUCUAAGUCUAUGUACCAAUCACAGCGACACAGAACAUGUGGAACGUACCUACGUAUAUACCUACAUAGCCAACAUUAAUCUAUAUGUGUAUGCAAUGUAUGCAUAUUACAAAUAUGUAUAUACAUAUACAUAACAUAUACAACAUACAAACAUCGGCUUACAAUUACUCGACACGCACUAUGCACUGAGAGUGUCCUCGGUUAAAAAGAUAUUUCGGUGGAUUAGUUUGUCAUCGUUUUGCAAACAUUAGCAAUUUCUUUUAAAUAUACAUUUAUAUUUAUAUGUAUAUUUAUAUAUAUAUAUAUAUAUAUAUAUAUAUAUAUAUAUAUAUAUGUAUAUGUAUAUACGAUACAGUAUAUCGACCACUGAUUGUACGAUUAGGAUUUGUGCAGGGCACAACAAGCAAUCACAUUUAGUAUCCCCGCGUUGUAUUCGCCAGUGAUAUUGUUCUAUGUUCGCUACAGGUGCGCUAAAUGCAUCUUACAAAAAUUAUUUCUUAAUUUCCUCGGCUUUGAUUGUUCUUUCGUAUCGUUGUUAAUGUUUCUCAGGGAGCGUGACGUUGGUAAGUCUUGAUCGAAUAGAACGCGGAGCGAAACACGCAGCGUAUAAAUGCGUUAUCAGCACGCCACUAAUCGUGAUAUAUGUAUAUAUACGCGAUUAGAAAGUUAGUAGCUGUACACUUCUGACAACAGUUAUCUUUUAUUUUUGCACGGGAAAGGUGAUGAUUAACUCUGAAACUUGGCUGAAUUACGCAUUAUGAGCAAGAACGAAGAAUGAAUCAUAUUUGUUCGUCGAAGAAAAUAAUUUUCGUUUCGGAUACUUGUCAGAUUUGUAUUAUAUUUUUGUUGAACCACCGAGUAGAUACCCAUAAAUGGCAUUAGUUCGUUAAUCGCGAACCGUUUAUUUUUAUUUUAAUUCCCCUAUCUUUAUAUAAAAUACUCUUACUUCAUUCCUUGCGAAGAGGAACGAGGCAAUUUAAUCUAAUUUGAUCUCUGAAUUGACGCGCAUAUUUGUCGGCUCUGGAUCUAGUUCGACUGUCGAUUCCACAAAUAUUUAAUAUAGUGACGUAUAUCGUCCUUCAAGCUCAUUGACGAUUGUAUAGAUGCGCUGGCAACGUUUCUUACAUUUUCGUAACUUAGUUCGUAGGUUAACAGCUUCUCGUGUCCCGACCGUUUACUUACUAUUCUUUUAAACAUCCUUGAUAAUUCGAUUUCUUUUCCGUUAGGAUAAAACCUUUUUAUUCGUAGUUGGUACCAACUGAGGCUUCUUUUGAAUAAAAUACUAUGUUUCGCCAGCGUCGUAACAAGCUUCUUCAGGGGUCAAAUGGCAUAAUUAUGGAUGAACUUUGAUAUAAACUCUUCGAUUGGCAGCCAAUGAAUUAUGGCACGAGCUGAGGUACCUUGAUACUUCAUGUACCAGAAAUCUAUCUAUAGACUUGAAAUUUUUUAAACUCGACCUUUUAUAUAUUUCUAAGUUUUUAUUUUUUUAAUCUAUUUCUAUUGGAAAUUCUAUUUCUAUUGUCCAGUGAUAAUAUUGAUGAACCAGUGCUAUUAAAAAGUAAUGGAAACAAAUUAAAAAUUUGUCUCUCUUUCUUAAAUUUUUAAAAAUUUUUAAUUCGUUUUCAGUACUUACCAAUAGCACCGAUUCGUCGAUAUUAUCGCUGGACAUUUCCGAUAGAAAUAGAUUUAAAAAGGUAAAAUCUUAGAAAUACUAUAUAAAAGCUCGAAUUAAAACUUAAAAAGUCAAAUAUAGAAAACUAAAAAAUAGAAGUAUUACAAAUAUAACUGUAGAAUAUAUUUCUCACUUCUAUGAAAGUAUGAAUUUUGAUUAUAUUUUUGCGAACACCCUUUGGAUGGAUCCAAGGCCUGCUGGUACUCGCGACAGGACAAAGCUUUGAAAAUGUAACCGUAUUUCUGAGAAUUUUGUAUAGCACGGAACUAAUCUCUAUUUUGAAUUUAACGAGUUACGGCUUCUUGGAAUCUCCUUAGACAUUCUCCAGUUUUUGUACUGUUAGGGUAAACACGACGGUUGCCACACCUUGCUUCGCUAUCACAACAUAGCGGCGAGCAACAACAAAUGUCACGGUUUUCCAGAAGGAAGGGGAAUGACCUGAGCGGGGCAGGUCAGAAAUCUCCGCAUUCGAAAUCCGUCCGUCGAGUAAUAAGGUUGAAUCAAACGAGUGCGUUAUAUGCGAACGGGGAAUAGGUCGGUUAAUUUAGAAACUCUUCUUCGAACUUGACUAUUUCUAAAUCGGUAGUUAAAGUGUGAACAAGACCCAAGCUGCAUCCCACGCCAACAUUGGUCUGCCACUUCUAUCCUGCGCUGUUCAGUUUGGCACCCUUCGACAACUUGCGAUCUCUGCAUAGUAUUCUACCCUAAAAACGCGUCCUUCGCUCCGUAAGCCUCGAUUAACCCAUACCUACGUCGGAGUACUUGGCCAUUUCAUUACGAAUCCACGGAACGUAUUUUGGCACGUAGGCGUAAACACCAGGUAAUUUCGGAUAUCGGAGACAUUUUGAUCUACGAAUUUACCUGACACGCGUCCUUCCCCCCAUCUGGAUAACCGGCACAGAUCAUCCCAUCGGUGACGUUCAAUUCUUUGUACGCGAGCCACAAAUUGCAAAUCUCCCUGUUCAGAACUGGAACCUGCACUUCGUUCACGGCUGGUUCGUACUCGGAUGCUGCAAAAAUCAAUCACCAGUAACGUUCGUCCUGGCCCCAAGGACAGUCCAUGACACCGUCGCAGAUGUGAGUGGCGGACAUGCACCUCCUCUCGCCGCAGUGCAAGGGGGAUUUCGAGACGGUGGUCUUCGCUAGAAUGGGCUUCUUCACGAUCUUCG